rnacentral:rRNA from 1 species
AUUGAACGCUGGCGGAAUGCUUUACACAUGCAAGUCAAGCGGCAGCGCGGGGGCAACCCUGGCGGCGAGCGGCGAACGGGUGAGUAACACAUCGGAACGUACCCUAUCGUGGGGGAUAACGAAUCGAAAGAUUCGCUAAUACCGCAUACAACCUGAGGGUGAAAGCGGGGGAUCGCAAGACCUCGCGCGAUUGGAGCGGCCGAUGUCGGAUUAGCUAGUUGGUGAGGUAAAGGCUCACCAAGGCGACGAUCCGUAGCUGGUCUGAGAGGCCGACAAGCCACACUGGGACUGAGACACGGCCCAGACUCCUACGGGAGGCAGCAGUGGGGAAUUUUGGACAAUGGGGGCAACCCUGAUCCAGCCAUUCCGCGUGAGUGAAGAAGGCCUUCGGGUUGUAAAGCUCUUUCGGCAGGAACGAAACGGCGGGCUCUAACAUAGCCUGUCAAUGACGGUACCUGAAGAAGAAGCACCGGCUAACUACGUGCCAGCCGCCGCAGUAAAAC